rnacentral:rRNA from 1 species
UGGGGAAUAUUGGACAAUGGGCGAAAGCCUGAUCCAGCCAUGCCGCGUGUGUGAAGAAGGUCUUCGGAUUGUAAAGCACUUUAAGUUGGGAGGAAGGGCAGUAAGCGAAUACCUUGCUGUUUUGACGUUACCGACAGAAUAAGCACCGGCUAACUCUGUGCCAGCAGCCGCGGUAAUACAGAGGGUGCAAGCGUUAAUCGGAAUUACUGGGCGUAAAGCGCGCGUAGGUGGUUCGUUAAGUUGAAUGUGAAAGCCCCGGGCUCAACCUGGGAACUGCAUUCGAUACUGGUUAGCUAGAGUGUGGGAGAGGAUGGUAGAAUUCCAGGUGUAGCGGUGAAAUGCGUAGAGAUCUGGAGGAAUACCGAUGGCGAAGGCAGCCAUCUGGCCUAACACUGACGCUGAGGUACGAAAGCAUGGGGAGCAAACAGG